rnacentral:rRNA from 1 species
GAUGAACGCUGGCGGCGUGCCUAAUACAUGCAAGUCGAGCGAACAGACGAGGAGCUUGCUCCUCUGACGUUAGCGGCGGACGGGUGAGUAACACGUGGAUAACCUACCUAUAAGACUGGGAUAACUUCGGGAAACCGGAGCUAAUACCGGAUAAUAUAUUGAACCGCAUGGUUCAAUAGUGAAAGACGGUUUUGCUGUCACUUAUAGAUGGAUCCGCGCCGCAUUAGCUAGUUGGUAGGGUAACGGCUUACCAAGGCAACGAUGCGUAGCCGACCUGAGAGGGUGGACGGGCAAAAUGGGACUGAGACACGGACCAAAAGCCAAGGGGAGGGAGCAGAAGGGAAUGUUCCGCAAAGGACGAAAGUCUGAGGGAGCAACGCCGCGUGAGUGAAGAAGGCGUUCGGGUCGUAAAACUCUGUGGACGGGGAAGAAAAAGUACCGUCAGAACAGGGCGGCGCCUUGACGGUACCCGGACAGAAAGCCACGGCUAACUACGUG